CUCCAGCAGAGGUCUGUGCUCCCAUUCGUUGCGUGCAAGUCAGCACCUGUGUGGGCAGCAGGCACUUCUCCAGCCCGAGGAGAUUCCACCCUGCGUUUCCAAAGACAGGCCCUGAAAUCGCCUUCAGGCACCUUGUGGAGAGGCAGGACCUUUGGAAGCUGCAGAUCGUCAAAUCUCUUACUUUACACGCUACUCUAGCAAGGGUUGCCAACUAGAAUCAGGAUAAACCCAGUGAAAUUAGAAUUUCACAUUAACUUAGAAAUGUCUAAAGGACAAUUCUUAUAACUGAAUAUGCUACAUUUGUGGUCUUAGUCGUACCUGUUUGCUCAAGGCACCGUGGAUCAGGUCUACACUGGCAUGGUGAUUGGUUAUUGGCUCAUGCAUGUUGGGUCUGCUCAUCUGGAAGAUAGCGAAGGCUCAUUACUGUCAUCCCAGGAAGAUCAUACAACAGAUAAUAUAGCUGUCCAGAGGCUGCUGGAAAACCUCUUUACAAGCUUUAAAGAAGGCAGGUAGUGUAAAUUCAGCCAAAUUAGCUUCUGAAAAACAGACAACAUGAUUGGGAACUUGACAGUUUCUUAUUCUCAUUUGCCCUGAGACAUUUUAUUCUCCUUAAUCUUAAGGAGUCAUGAACAAAAGUAUCUUUAGCUCUUUCUUGCUGACUGAGGACAUCGAACCUCUGGUAACUGGAGGUGGAAAAAUCUCUUGCUGGCUAUUCUAAUGGCAAAUAAAGUCCCAAUUCCUCUUUUGAAGGUAUUUGUUGAAAACCUUACAUCAUCUUCAGUUUGACCUGAAGCUGCUAUAACCUCAAGGAAAUAAAUUUAACCAAGAGGUUUAUAACAUAAGGACCAAACAAAGAACAUUAACAGUAAGAAAAUUAACAGAGGUCGAAGAAAGGAUAGAGACCACGUUAUUAUGCCAGGGAGUCUUAAUGCAGGGGCCUGGACAAGCUUUGAGGACUUCGAUGCCUUCUAGUAAUCUUCAUCUCAGCAGAGGGUCUGCCAUGCGACCAACGCGAGCUUCAUAAAAGAAGGUUCGAUGCAUAAAAAUUGCUAGUGAGUUUUAAAUUAAAGAGACAGACUCUCAUUUACCUUUAUUCCCAGCUCCGAGACAGCU